CUGGAAGAGGGGUCACGGCUUUCAUUAAACUGGCUCCACCUCUUACUCAGGUUCCCUGGUCAGUGCAGCUACACCCACAAAUACCAGGGCCUUUCCAAAACCAAGACACAGAGCCAAAGAUAGGAGCAGCUCAGAUCUGCAUCUCCUCCCAUGAGGGCCAGACUUUCUCCAAAGUGAGGAGAGAACUUCACACAAGAAAACGGGAGAUAAGACUCGCGGAUCAGUGAGCGGACCUGCCCCAACCCACACCCAGCGAAUGGAGUACGUGGCGGGUGGCCACAGAGGCCAAGAAUCAGACGUGGGAGGGCGUGUGGAGUCCAUAGUGCAGCUCCCGCAAAAAAUGGCCAAAGGACCCGCAGAACGGAUGAAGGUUCUGGAGAAUGUACAUUGAGAAACAGCGAUUCCAUCCAACCUGCCCGAUGGACUUAAUACAUGCGCUACGGGUGCCUGGGUCAGGAUGCUGUGAGCAGCGUCAGCCCUCCUGCGGCCUUGGAUACGUUCCUUAAUGUCUCCACAACCCGCUGUCUUCGUCUGAAACCUGGAGCUGGAGAGAGAACUCGCCUCAAUGCUGCUGGGAGGAUUCAGUACCGGCUCUCACAUGAGUGCACCUGGAGGGAAACUGGAAACAUCACCGAAUUAUGAUUCGGUCACAGUCAUGCAAUGGAGAUGGCCUGGCGAUCAAACACAACAAAAGAAAGAGUUGGAUUCUAAUAGAAGCUCAAACCCAGACAAAGAGAAAACCCAAAUCCGGUCCCGGUGAGCCAAGUGAAGACCACAUCAGAACUGCACGAUGAGGCCAGCGUUUCUGGAACGCUAACAGUGGCUGGCACGUCAUCUGGAGCCACAGGGACAGGGUGGCUGAGUUUUUACGAUCAAUUGUAUUGAUCCAGGAAAACGGAAACCAAAAUAACUCUGUGAGAAAGGAACACUGGAAAGAUCAAUCAGAUGGAAUAAAAAUUGGUACUCAGGUGUGGAGGGGGAUUGCAUAGAAGGAGCGGAGGUGGACAUCCCUCCUGUGUUCCAGGCUUCUGUCACACGGUGCCCCAGCCUACUGACUGCUGUGUCAAACUGAUCCAGUGGGAUCCACAGAGAGAGGAGAGAAGGACAGAGAGAGACACAC